rnacentral:rRNA from 1 species
AUUGAACGCUGGCGGCAGGCCUAACACAUGCAAGUAGAACGCAGUUGCGAACGGGUGAGUAACGCGUAGGUAACUGCCUCAUAGCGGGGGAUAACUAUUGGAAACGAUAGCUAAUACCGCAUACUGUGAGAUGGACCUGCGUGGUAUUAGGUAGUUGGUGAGGUAAAGGCACACCAAGGCGAAGUAACAUAGACGAGUUGAGAGGGUGAUCGGCCCAACUUGGACCUAGACACGGCCCAGAUUCCGACGGGAGGCAGCAGGAGGGAAACUUUGGAAAAGGACGGAAGUCUGAACGCGGAACUCCGCGUGAGUUAAGAAGGUUUUCGGAUCUUAAAGCCCUGUUGUUAGAGAAGCGGUAACUAACCAGAAAGGGACGGCUAACUACGUGCCAGCAGCCGCGGUAAUAC